CUUCAGCUAAUAGCUCAUAGAUGGUACAACGGAGUCGUAUAAUUCCCAAUAUGCUGAAUAUCUAGAUGUAUGCUGUUAUUUAUAAGGCUUAUUCUUGCACUUGGAGGGUAAAGAUCAAGAUUCUGGAUUUGGACUGCACCAAAUUGUUAAUUGCCGAAGUUUCGUCCACGAUAACUUGAGAUAUCUUCUAUGGACUACCUAAAACAAACAAAGACAACCCGCGGAAGUUUUUUGAAAUCAUGGAACCUACCUGUUCAUUACAUUUCAUGCGAGAAAUACUUGACAUUUCUACAGACAAGGACACUAAAAAAUAUGCUAUAUAAUUAAGUACAUAGCAGAGACAAAAAUAACAAAAACUGCCUAAAAUACGAUUUUAUUUAGAUUCAAAAAAUGUAAAAAUUGGGCUUUUACAGGCUAACGUAUAGGUAUAUAAAAAUUUAUACUUGGGACGGUAUAAUUAUAUAACAUCAUUGGCUUAACAAGUUUUUUAUUUUUACAAAAUACCGUUGUUACAUUUCUUUUAAAAACUGAAUUAUAUUUUAUAUAUUUAUUUAUUUAUUUAUUUCUAUAUAGAAAGCCAGUAACAAAAUGACAACAAAUUAAUAAAAAUUCUGCAACAGCUCAACAUACAGAAUAACUGGAAUGUUUUUAUUACGAUAUACAUAAUAACAAGAAGACGACUCGAGAAGUAAAAGAUCACUUAACAUUUCUUUCAUUUUUUUCCGAAUUUAAAUACCUUAUCACUCAAUAUAAUACAGGUUCUUAUUUCUAUAUUUACAAUAAUUAAUUAGUUUAAAAUGAUGUUGUUCGAUCGCCGUACCUACCUCUCAAUUUUACAAAUGCGUCAUCAUGCAAUAAACGACCAGCACUUUUCAACAGUUCUUGCUUCACAAUAAAAACGAAUGGCACUUGCGUUAAAUAGGAUCACUUUAGAUGUUUUUAAGCGGUCGUAAUGAAAAGUGCUGGCCAUUUCUUAUGAU